CUGGAAGUGAUGCAUUAACCUUCAACCUGAGAACCAUGAUGGGUUGUUGUAUUCAUACUGUCUGAUCCAG
rnacentral:snoRNA from 1 species